ACUGAGACACGGCCCAGACUCCUACGGGAGGCAGCAGUGGGGAAUAUUGCACAAUGGGCGCAAGCCUGAUGCAGCGACGCCGCGUGAGGGAUGACGGCCUUCGGGUUGUAAACCUCUUUCAGCAGGGAAGAAGCGCAAGUGACGGUACCUGCAGAAGAAGCGCCGGCUAACUACGUGCCAGCAGCCGCGGUAAUACGUAGGGCGCGAGCGUUGUCCGGAAUUAUUGGGCGUAAAGAGCUCGUAGGCGGUCUGUCGCGUCGGAUGUGAAAGCCCGGGGCUUAACCCCGGGUCUGCAUUCGAUACGGGCAGACUAGAGUGUGGUAGGGGAGAUCGGAAUUCCUGGUGUAGCGGUGAAAUGCGCAGAUAUCAGGAGGAACACCGGUGGCGAAGGCGGAUCUCUGGGCCAUUACUGACGCUGAGGAGCGAAAGCGUGGGGAGCGAACAGGAUUAGAUACCCUGGUAGUCCACGCCGUAAACGGUGGGCACUAGGUGUUGGCGACAUUCCACGUCGUCGGUGCCGCAGCUAACGCAUUAAGUGCCCCGCCUGGGGAGUACGGCCGCAAGGCUAAAACUCAAAGGAAUUGACGGGGGCCCGCACAAGCAGCGGAGCAUGUGGCUUAAUUCGACGCAACGCGAAGAACCUUACCAAGGCUUGACAUACACCGGAAAACUCUGGAGACAGGGUCCCCCUUGUGGUCGGUGUACAGGUGGUGCAUGGCUGUCGUCAGCUCGUGUCGUGAGAUGUUGGGUUAAGUCCCGCAACGAGCGCAACCCUUGUUCUGUGUUGCCAGCAUGCCUUUCGGGGUGAUGGGGACUCACAGGAGACUGCCGGGGUCAACUCGGAGGAAGGUGGGGACGACGUCAAGUCAUCAUGCCCCUUAUGUCUUGGGCUGCACACGUGCUACAAUGGCAGGUACAAUGAGCUGCGAAGCCGUGAGGCGGAGCGAAUCUCAAAAAGCCUGUCUCAGUUCGGAUUGGGGUCUGCAACUCGACCCCAUGAAGUCGGAGUUGCUAGUAAUCGCAGAUCAGCAGUGCUGCGGUGAAUACGUUCCCGGGCCUUGUACACACCGCCCGUCACGUCACGAA
rnacentral:rRNA from 1 species